rnacentral:rRNA from 1 species
GAUGAACGCUGGCGGCGUGCCUAAUACAUGCAAGUCGAGCGAACAGACGAGGAGCUUGCUCCUCUGACGUUAGCGGCGGACGGGUGAGUAACACGUGGAUAACCUACCUAUAAGACUGGGAUAACUUCGGGAAACCGGAGCUAAUACCGGAUAAUAUAUUGAACCGCAUGGUUCAAUAGUGAAAGACGGUUUUGCUGUCACUUAUAGAUGGAUCCGCGCCGCAUUAGCUAGUUGGUAAGGUAACGGCUUACCAAGGCAACGAUGCGUAGCCGACCUGAGAGGGGUAGCGGCCCAAGGGGAGUGGACACCGGGCCCGGGCCCGAGAGGGGGGCCAGAGUGGGAAAGCUGGCAGAAGGGGGGAAAACUGGACGAGGGAAGCCGGCGUGAGGGAGAGAGGGCUCGUGGGGGAAAAAGUCUUUUGUGUGGUAAAAACAAAUGGGUAGGUAACAAGCCUUUUUUGACGGGACCUAAAUAAGAAGCCCCGGCCAAACACGUG